UAUAUAUAUUAUAUAUAUAAAUAUAUAUUUAUAUAUAUUAUAUAUAUAUGUUCUUAAAUGUCAAAAAGAUGGAGUUAUUUUCAUACACAGUGAAAAUGGCCAGAUCUUAAAAAUACAUUGCUCCUAUGGAAAUUAAUCUCUGUGGGUUUAGAUUAAAGAAAAAUACUAUUCGGGUAUAAGAUGAAAAGCCAUAUGAAAUGACUAAUUUUAUUUCAAUUUUAUAAUCAUUCAGGGCUAAAUCUUUCAAUCUUAUUUCUAAAGUAUGCAAGUAGAUAGCAGGACAGUUCUAGAGUGCCAUGUCAAUUUGCUUUAUUAAUAUGCUGGCAGUCAAAACUGAACAACUAAAAUUUUAUGGAGGUGAGAAUAAAUGAUAAGUAAUCCUGGCCUUUACAAUGAAACUCAAACUUAACCCUAAAUGAAAUUCCUAAAUUUUUGGUGCCUCUUUUAUACCAAAAAGCAAAGACCAGUUUUGUCAUACAUGAUGAAUUAGAUGCACCAUGUUCUUUUGUUAGACUCCAAAGAAGACAACUCUUUGUAUUCUAAACAUCUUUUUAAGUCAGAAGACAAGUACAGGAUAAUACAUCUUUGAAAUUUUAUGGUAGUAGAAUGCAUUGUCUGGUAUUCUAAAAAUGCAGCCUAUUUGCUGGCAUCUUAUAAUAAAUAUUAUAAGUAAAAAAUAAUGGUAAGUUUAUACUUUUGUUACAAAGAAGGAAUUAUAGUAGGCUUUUACAAAAACUAAAAUUUGUCUUCUAAGUUCAGAUAAUUGUAAGAUGAAUCCGAAUCUUUACCUGUUUUGAAAUUGCUGCAUGUUUCCAAACCCUUCUUAGAUUUUCUACACCUUACUUCUCAGCUCUGUUACUAGUUCUGUUGCCAGAUUUUAGAUUAGGCAUUUAGCAUCAACUACUUUUGGCAUGAACCAGUGAUUCAGGAAUUAGCUAGACAAUUUUUAGUAUUCAGGUACUAUAACUACAUUAUACUUUUAAUUGGGACACACAACACAUAGAAUGCAUAAGGAAGAUUUUAUAUAUACACACGCUGAAUCGUCUCCAUGAUAAAACCGAAUACUCAGAGCCAGUUUAUUUAGUAUACUAGGGUGUGUUUUGGGCAUUUUUUGCUGGUUGUACCCCUCACAAUACCCUUUUUGAUAUACAUAUUGUGAUCCCCAUUUUAUAGAUAAGGAAGAACAAGUGGGUUCAAUUAUUGACACAGAAUCACAUAUCUUGGAAGUGCACAUUUAUUUUGCCUUAACUAAAUAUUAUAUUUUGCUAUUUCACACUCUUAUUGUCAGGAAUAUUAUAAUUUAUAUUUUAAACAUUAUACUAUUAAAGUUGAUGCUGAAAAAUCUUUCCCAGUACCAUGAUCUUAUUCAUAACGUAGUUGUUAAACUGUGAAAUGUUGGAAUCCCAUGCAAAGUUAAUUAAAAAAUAUACUUGACUACAAGUAUUGUAAAUGACCAUAAAAAAUAUAAGAAAGCUGUGCUUUUGUCAUAUGUCCUGAUGUCUGGUGUUUGAAUUUGGAUUCAAACCUGUUUCCCUGUUCUAUUUUUUUUUUUUCUAUUUAAAAUAUUCUACUCGGAAAGAUUUGUGAUAUAUUUAUCUUUAAAUGAAGGACAGGUUGAAGCAAUAUACAUUUCUAAAAUUUAGCAGUAAUUUACAUCUCAUUAAUUCUGAUCUUCAUUCUCUUACCUUUCUCUCUGACUGAUUCUCACCGUUUUCUUCUUGUGUUUAUAUUCACUGUGACUAUUCAAAAUUUGUCCAUACUUACAGAGACAGUUUAAUAAGGUAUGCUUAUAGGUGUUAAAAUGAAAGCAGGUCAAGUUUAAAAAUCCUGAAGACGUAUCUCAAUACAAUUUUUAUUUUAUGUAGUAUGAAUAUGUGUUCUCCUGCCUGGAUACAUGCUUCAGUUCUUGUGGUGGACUCUGGAAUACCUAGCACAGGAAUCUCUAGAAAAUGAUAAACCCCAGGUAAUACGUAGUACAAAGCUGAUCCUGAGUAGCGGCCAAUCAGGAAGUGCAGUUACUGCAAAGAGCACGCUGCCUAAGAAUUCCCCUAUAUUCAUAUUCAUGCUGAGACUAGCUACACAAAUUUUUAUAAAAAUUUUGGCACAUGUGUGCGCUUGAGUGUGCAAGCUAGGGGAAGGUUUGUGUUGGGGGGGUGCAGCAGUCAAAAAAAUCUUAAUAGUAGACUCCAAGUAAUGGUUGUUAUCAACAUCAUUCAAGUGUAAAUCUUGAUGCAAGGGACAUACGAAAGCUGUAGGGUAAGAAGCAAUUCCAGAAUAGAGAGUGCAGAAGUCAUGUAUUUCUGUAUAGUCACAUUUGGGGAACAUUUAUGCACUUGCAAGAUGUGUUUUGCAUACAUACACUGUACAAAAUUGUUGUCAUUUUUUAAGAUGCACUUAGUAAUUGAGGGAGUUUUAUGUUUAAAACUCAUAUUCUGUAUGGUUAUUUUAGUGACAACUGACAAAAUUUUGCAGCUAAAGUUUGAUAUUAUUUUGCAGUUUGAAAUUUAGAAGAAAAGAAAUCUUGGAGAGGAGAAAAUGCCCAUACAGAUUUUUCUCAAGAAGACUACAGGAUGAGGCUUUUGAUUAGGAAUUCUUUUCUCUACCACUGUCCUGGGGGUAUAUAAAGAAUAAUUUAUCCAGGCCUUGUCUUGGCAAAUGCACAAAAAUCAGCGAAUCUAGUCAUUUGCAAUUCACUGAUUGGUGUGUAGGAUAUAGUUGCCUUAAAUCAUAUCCUUUCUAAGUACACACUUCUAAUAACUUGGGCAACAUACUGGUAUUCUGCCAGAUACCCAAAUUUCUGGAAAACAGAAGCCAAUCCUGUUUCUAUUUCAAAAAUCAGAUUCAGUUGCUUGGAUGGAAAUGCCUUCUAGGCAAUGUGUUAUGAGUCAUUCCAUGCUACCAAUGUCUCCUUCCUAAUCUAGGCUACUGAGACCUCUGAAAUGUUUUAAAUUUUGUUAUAUGCUAUAUGGCAUCCUGUGUUUUAGGAUUUCCUAGAAGCAAAUUUAAGGGGCUUUCUUUGUUUGUACUUCUUUCUCAUGUAAGCAGUCUUAUAAUUCCUGGAUCCUUAGCUCCCAAUGCUAUGCCUUAACUAAGAGUUUUUAAUUAUCAUUAUUACUAUAAAAUUAUUUUUAAAUGAAAUAUUUAAUUUUUACCAAGGAAACCUUAAGUCAACAUUAUCCCUUUAAAAAAAAAGAAAUGCUAUUUAAAAUUCACACAAUAAAGUCAUCCAUCGAAGCAAAAGAAAAAAUCCAUGUUUAAGUAAUAAUUGGCAAUUCUGCCCAUCACAUUAUUUCCAAUUCCAUGUUAUGUUACAGCCAAAAAGAAGCAACUAAACUCAUGCAGCUUAUGUUGAUGUGCCAGGGGUAAUGGAUUGUGGGAUAAGUGAUGGCAUGUACAGAAGAAAUGUAAAAUUCCACAUUGCUCUGACAAUGUAUCUUGGGUUUAGAAUUCAAUACAGUAGACCUUAUGGUUAUACCAGCUGUGCUUUGUCCCACACUAAGAUGUUGCAAUCAGGUGAUACAUUCAUGUUAGUUGAAUAUGUUAUAACUGUUAAAGAAAAACAUUAUUUAUAACACUUGUUAAAUAAGAUGAAGAAGAUCCUAAGGGGCGACCAUUGCAAUAGGUAAGGGACCACUGCAAUAGGGACUUGCAGUGCAGCGGGGAAGAGAGAUCCGGCUUGACUCUGACUCCAACAAAGACAAGUGGAGGUUGAUAUCUAAGGAGCAGUGUGGGGUCAGUGGAUAGAAUAUCACUAAGAAGAAACAUCAGGCUUAAGAAAGAUUCCUGCUAUGCCAACGCAAGAGACUUCUUGCUGAAGACAGGCCAGGGUGAUAAGAUAUAGAAGGUGAGGACAAGGACAGAUACCAAGGGUGGGGGAUUUUCUUUAAACUGAUUUAGCAGGAUUCUUACUCAAACUGGUUUCUACAAGGAUAGAGAGGGAAACCCAAGAUCACGUCUCAUCAAGCACAGGCCUUGGAGGAGCCUGAUUAAGAGAGAGGAUUUGUUACAAUAUACAAAUACAUGCACAAAGCCAAUACUUUGCAGUUCAGCACUUCCCGUGUUAUCGGGUUCACAGAAAAAAGACUGUUAUGGAAUGGGUCUGUCCUGUUGAAGACUAAAGUGCAUGGAGGGAGCAGUAAGAAGCUAUUACGAUCUUUGGGGGUUGAUUAUCUCAAGGAAGAUUCUGACAAAGAUGAGUUGAAACAAUAACAGCUUAACAGGUACAGGACAAGAUAAGAACAGCCAAAUUAUAGUUAAACAGACAAAAAAAUACCAAACAUUUUUUGAGGAGGCAGAUAUAGAGGGAAAAAAACCUUACAGAAGAAAAUACUGUGGCUUCUGAAUAGAUGAGAUAACCUGAGAGAUAAUAUUAAUGCCGUAGGCUAAAGCAUUUGGAAUUUGAUUGCACCUUAUAAUGGUAAAAUAAAGUCUAGUGACCAGGAAAAACAUUAAAACAAAUUCAUACAAGCAAUUCGAUGGAGUGGAAAAAUACUUUAUUAGAAGUCAAGUGUUGAGGCUUUCAGACUCAACACUAGGUUUGUAACCUGGUUGACUCUGAGAAACUACUCAGCUUCUAGCACUGUUUUCUCUGCUAUAAAAUGAAAUUAGAUUAAAUGAUCUUUAAAAUUCACUCCAGAUCUAUUUAAUGGCUUUAUACAUCAGACUUUUAAUGAUUUUAUAUUUAUAUUUGAGAAUGUAUAUUUGUGAAUAGUUUUAUAUUUUUUAGAAAAGAAGAAAUAAGCAAAGGCUGGGAAGACAGGGGAGGUUUAGGAAAGAUGUAGCAUUCAAAGUAUAUAGAUCACAGUUGCGUAAAAAGCUGGCUGGGAUUUUCAUAGGCAGACAGAGAAAGGGAGACAAAAAAGAGAAUUCUAAUAGGAGGAAUUACUGGAGUGAUGAGGAGG